GUCUACGGCCAUACCACCCUGAACGCGCCCGAUCUCGUCUGAUCUCGGAAGCUAAGCAGGGUCGGGCCUGGUUAGUACUUGGAUGGGAAAAUAUUAUGAAAAAUUUGAGUCUUGGAAA
rnacentral:rRNA from 1 species